rnacentral:lncRNA from 1 species
AAGUGCUGAAUAUCAUACAUCAUGUACUCUGAAGCCACAACGACACACAAGCAGCUUCUUCCAGGAGGUUUGUCUGUCUCAGUGCUAAACAUUAAAAUAUGCAAAUGCCUGUGAAACUGAGAAUCUGGCCGAAGCAAAUGCAUCAGAGGAGGACAAACUCAAACUGUGAUGUACCCGUCCAGUCUGAGCUAUUAUUCCAGCAGGUGAGUGUUCAGAUAUUGACGGUGACUGAAUCUGUGAAAUAUGAGAGGUGCUCAAGGUUCUGACAUUCAUCAGUGAUGCGCUGAAGCUGCUUCCCCCAAACUACAUCUGCUUCCGCUGCAGGAUUCCUGGACAUCACAUUAAAAACUGGCCGAGCAAUGGGGUAACUGGGCUUUGAGAGAUCACAGCUGCUGUGAACUUGAGCUCUUUCCCCCGUCAGUCUGUCAGAGUUUGAAUUACAUUCAUGAAUUCACAGGACAAAGGUUUUGUUCCUCAUAAACACAUACGGAAAUGCACAGGGAUUCCUCGUAGUUUCCUGGUGGAGGUGGAUGAUCCUGACAGAAAGGGAGUCAUGAUGGACAGCAGUGGGAUAUACGUCAUCCCUGUUAUGGAUGCGUGAGUUUACUGUACUUGGCCUUGCUGCAGGUUCUAGUGUUUGUUAAAGUUUCUGUUUGAAUCAUGUUAUGUUUGAUCUGUUUAGCGAUGCCUAUGUGAUUGAGAAGAAAGAGAAGCCACCCUUCUCAACCCAGAAUGAGCCUUCAUCCUCAUCCUCAUCUGAUCCGGUUCCUGCCGCGCUGCUGUGUCUGAUCUGUAAAGAUCUGCUGACUGAUGCUGUGAUGAUUCCCUGCUGCAGGAGCAGCUCCUGUGAUGAUCAAACAAACAUCAGUCAGAAGCAAACAGGCUGUUUCUGACAAUCUUUUGGUGUCAGGUAUCAGAAAGUGUCUGCUGGAGUCUGACGGACACCUUUGUCCAACCUGCAGACAGUCAGAUGUUUCUCCUGACAGUUUGACUGCAAACACUGUUUUGCGUCAAGAGGUGAAUCAUUUUAGGAAUGGAACCACAUCUUUGCACUCCUGCAGCUGUCGAUCCCAGUCUCCCAACCAAGAAUCAAAGAGGCGUCGGGAUGUAAGAGGGAAUCGUUCCCGCUCCAGAUCUCCUCUAAACAGAUAUACAGACCAGAUGAGACCACGCUACUGAGAGGCUUUCAGUCCUGCACUGGAGAAACCUUGUGAAGCAUUGACUUCAAGCUCUCAAAGAAACACUAGCAGCA